CGACCGGCAAACGGGUGCGGAACACGUACACAACCUUCCUUUAAGUGGGGAAUAGCCCGGGGAAACCCGGAUUAAUACCCCGUAAUAUAAUGAAGUGGCAUCACUUUAUUAUUAUAGCUCCGGCGCUUGAAGAUGGGUGUGCGGCUGAUUAGGUAGUUGGCGGGGUAACGGCCCACCAAGCCUACGAUCAGUAACUGGUGUGAGAGCACGACCAGUCACACGGGCACUGAGACACGGGCCCG
rnacentral:rRNA from 1 species